rnacentral:rRNA from 1 species
AUGUUGCAGGAGGAUGGGGGUAUCGAUGAAGAUGUGAACCAUCGAAUCAAAGUCGGAUGGAUGAAGUGGCGCCAAGCUUCUGGCAUUCUCUGUGACAAGAGAGUGCCACAAAAGCUAAAAGGCAAGUUCUACAGGACGGCGGUUCGACCCGCAAUGUUGUAUGGCGCUGAGUGUUGGCCGACUAAAAGGCGACAUGUUCAACAGUUAAGUGUGGUGGAGAUGCGUAUGUUGAGAUGGAUGUGUGGCCACACGAGGAAGGAUCGAGUCCGGUAUGAUGAUAUACGAGAUAGAGUUGGGUAG